ACUCUAAGCGGUGGAUCACUCGGCUCAUGGGUCGAUGAAGAACGCAGCAAACUGUGCGUCAUCGUGUGAACUGCAGGACACAUGAACAUCGACAUUUUGAACGCAUAUCGCAGUCCAUGCUGUUAUGUACUUUAAUUAAUUUUAUAGUGCUGCUUGGACUACAUAUGGUUGAGGGUUGUAAGACUAUGCUAAUUAAGUUGCUUAUAAAUUUUUAUAAGCAUAUGGUAUAUUAUUGGAUAAAUAUAAUAAUUUUUAUUCAUAAUAUUAAAAAAUAAAUGAAAAACAUUAUCUCACAUUUGAAUGUGAAAAACGAAGAGAAAUAUUUUCUUUUUCAAUCAAAUAAUACUGAGAAAUGUCUAGCAUAAAAAAUUGAAAUAUUUUUCAUCUAGAAUUGUCUCUUAUUAAUGAUUCGGAAAUAGAAAAAUCUUGGUUAUGUUAUUAUUCUUCGUUGGUUCGUUAAAAAUGGAUAAAUAAAAACUUUGCAUACAAGAAUUAAUAAAAAUGUUAUAACGAAUUUAAUUAAAUGUUUUAUCAUUAUAUAUAAAGAAUUUAUGGCAAGAUAAAGUUAUAUACAACCUCAACUCAUAUGGGACUACCCCCUGAAUUUAAGCAUAUUAAUUAGGGGAGGAAAAGAAACUAACAAGGAUUUUCUUAGUAGCGGCGAGCGAAAAGAAAACAGUUCAGCACUAAGUCACUUUGUCUAUAUGGCAAAUGUGAGAUGCAGUGUAUGGAGCGUCAAUAUUCUAGUAUGAGAAAUUAACGAUUUAAGUCCUUCUUAAAUGAGGCCAUUUACCCAUAGAGGGUGCCAGGCCCGUAUAACGUUAAUGAUUACUAGAUGAUGUUUCCAAAGAGUCGUGUUGCUUGAUAGUGCAGCACUAAGUGGGUGGUAAACUCCAUCUAAAACUAAAUAUAACCAUGAGACCGAUAGUAAACAAGUACCGUGAGGGAAAGUUGAAAAGAACUCUGAAUAGAGAGUUAAACAGUACGUGAAACUGCUUAGAGGUUAAGCCCGAUGAACCUGAAUAUCCGUUAUGGAAAAUUCAUCAUUAAAAUUGUAAUAUUUAAAUAAUAUUAUGAGAAUAGUGUGCAUUUUUUCCAUAUAAGGACAUUGUAAUCUAUUAGCAUAUACCAAAUUUAUCAUAAAAUAUAACUUAUAGUUUAUUCCAAUUAAAUUGCUUGCAUUUUAACACAGAAUAAAUGUUAUUAAUUUGAUAAAGUGCUGAUAGAUUUAUAUGAUUACAGUGCGUUAAUUUUUCGGAAUUAUAUAAUGGCAUAAUUAUCAUUGAUUUUUGUGUUUAUUAUAUGCACUUGUAUGAUUAACAAUGCGAAAGAUUCAGGAUACCUUCGGGACCCGUCUUGAAACACGGACCAAGGAGUCUAACAUAUGUGCAAGUUAUUGGGAUAUAAACCUAAUAGCGUAAUUAACUUGACUAAUAAUGGGAUUAGUUUUUUAGCUAUUUAUAGCUAAUUAACACAAUCCCGGGCGUUCUAUAUAGUUAUGUAUAAUGUAUAUUUAUAUUAUUUAUGCCUCUAACUGGAACGUACCUUGAGCAUAUAUGCUGUGACCCGAAAGAUGGUGAACUAUACUUGAUCAGGUUGAAGUCAGGGGAAACCCUGAUGGAAGACCGAAACAGUUCUGACGUGCAAAUCGAUUGUCAGAAUUGAGUAUAGGGGCGAAAGACCAAUCGAACCAUCUAGUAGCUGGUUCCUUCCGAAGUUUCCCUCAGGAUAGCUGGUGCAUUUUAAUAUUAUAUAAAAUAAUCUUAUCUGGUAAAGCGAAUGAUUAGAGGCCUUAGGGUCGAAACGAUCUUAACCUAUUCUCAAACUUUAAAUGGGUAAGAACCUUAACUUUCUUGAUAUGAAGUUCAAGGUUAUGAUAUAAUGUGCCCAGUGGGCCACUUUUGGUAAGCAGAACUGGCGCUGUGGGAUGAACCAAACGUAAUGUUACGGUGCCCAAAUUAACAACUCAUGCAGAUACCAUGAAAGGCGUUGGUUGCUUAAAACAGCAGGACGGUGAUCAUGGAAGUCGAAAUCCGCUAAGGAGUGUGUAACAACUCACCUGCCGAAGCAACUAGCCCUUAAAAUGGAUGGCGCUUAAGUUGUAUACCUAUACAUUACCGCUAAAGUAGAUGAUUUAUAUUACUUGUGAUAUAAAUUUUGAAACUUUAGUGAGUAGGAAGGUACAAUGGUAUGCGUAGAAGUGUUUGGCGUAAGCCUGCAUGGAGCUGCCAUUGGUACAGAUCUUGGUGGUAGUAGCAAAUAAUCGAAUGAGACCUUGGAGGACUGAAGUGGAGAAGGGUUUCGUGUGAACAGUGGUUGAUCACGAGUUAGUCGGUCCUAAGUUCAAGGCGAAAGCCGAAAAUUUUCAAGUAAAACAAAAAUGCCUAACUAUAUAAACAAAGCGAAUUAUAAUACACUUGAAUAAUUUUGAACGAAAGGGAAUACGGUUCCAAUUCCGUAACCUGUUGAGUAUCCGUUUGUUAUUAAAUAUGGGCCUCGUGCUCAUCCUGGCAACAGGAACGACCAUAAAGAAGCCGUCGAGAGAUAUCGGAAGAGUUUUCUUUUCUGUUUUAUAGCCGUACUACCAUGGAAGUCUUUCGCAGAGAGAUAUGGUAGAUGGGCUAGAAGAGCAUGACAUAUACUGUUGUGUCGAUAUUUUCUCCUCGGACCUUGAAAAUUUAUGGUGGGGACACGCAAACUUCUCAACAGGCCGUACCAAUAUCCGCAGCUGGUCUCCAAGGUGAAGAGUCUCUAGUCGAUAGAAUAAUGUAGGUAAGGGAAGUCGGCAAAUUAGAUCCGUAACUUCGGGAUAAGGAUUGGCUCUGAAGAUUGAGAUAGUCGGGCUUGAUUGGGAAACAAUAACAUGGUUUAUGUGCUCGUUCUGGGUAAAUAGAGUUUCUAGCAUUUAUGUUAGUUACUUGUUCCCCGGAUAGUUUAGUUACGUAGCCAAUUGUGGAACUUUCUUGCUAAAAUUUUUAAGAAUACUAUUUGGGUUAAACCAAUUAGUUCUUAUUAAUUAUAACGAUUAUCAAUUAACAAUCAAUUCAGAACUGGCACGGACUUGGGGAAUCCGACUGUCUAAUUAAAACAAAGCAUUGUGAUGGCCCUAGCGGGUGUUGACACAAUGUGAUUUCUGCCCAGUGCUCUGAAUGUCAAAGUGAAGAAAUUCAAGUAAGCGCGGGUCAACGGCGGGAGUAACUAUGACUCUCUUAAGGUAGCCAAAUGCCUCGUCAUCUAAUUAGUGACGCGCAUGAAUGGAUUAACGAGAUUCCUACUGUCCCU
rnacentral:rRNA from 1 species